CACGUAGGGUGCAAGCGUUGUCCGGAAUUAUUGGGCGUAAAGAGCUCGUAGGCGGUCUGUUGCGUCGGCUGUGAAAACCCGGGGCUCAACUCCGGGCCUGCAGCCGAUACGGGCAGACUAGAGUUCGGCAGGGGAGACUGGAAUUCCUGGUGUAGCGGUGAAAUGCGUAGAUAUCAGGAGGAAUACCGGUGGCGAAAGCGACUCUCUGGACGGCAACUGACGCUGAGGCACGAAAGCGUGGGGAGCGAUCCGG
rnacentral:rRNA from 1 species